rnacentral:rRNA from 1 species
UGAGGAAUAUUGGACAAUGGGCACAAGCCUGAUCCAGCCAUGCCGCGUGCAGGAUGACGGUCCUAUGGAUUGUAAACUGCUUUUGUACAGGAAGAAACAGUUCUACGUGUAGAACCUUGACGGUACUGUAAGAAUAAGGAUCGGCUAACUCCGUGCCAGCAGCCGCGGUAAUACGGAGGAUCCAAGCGUUAUCCGGAAUCAUUGGGUUUAAAGGGUCCGUAGGCGGUUAGAUAAGUCAGUGGUGAAAGCCCAUCGCUCAACGGUGGAACGGCCAUUGAUACUGUCUGACUUGAAUUAUUAGGAAGUAACUAGAAUAUGUAGUGUAGCGGUGAAAUGCUUAGAGAUUACAUGGAAUACCAAUUGCGAAGGCAGGUUACUACUAAUGGAUUGACGCUGAGGCACGAAAGCGUGGGGAGCAAACAGGAUUAGAUACCCUCGUAGUCCCUGAGCGGGCUGGCAAGGCGCAU